CCGAGGAGAGCACACCCUGUCACUAGCCAGCAGGGCCGGCUCCAGGCAACCAAGCACAUGCUUGGGGCGACACCUAAGCUCUGCCGGCGCCAUUAGGGAGACAAGCUGCCUCCGCUUGCUGCUGGGGUAAGAGGAGGGGCCUGACUGCACAGCUGGGGUGAGAGCCCUGCACCUCCCCACGGAGCGCUCUGAUGCCAGAGCCGUGAUGGAAAGAGCUCCUGGGAAACAGGUGAAGAUGGUGAAUGCAGGAUCCAGACCCCUGGAACCCGCUGGGGGGCAGCAGCUCCAGCCUGGGUCCCUUACACACGCUGCAGUGCUUGGGACUGAAGUUAAUGAGGGAUAAGCCAGGUAGUUCUGCUAUUGCAGCCCAGGCCUGACUCAGAGUCGCUCCUGUCCUGGGCUUAGAUGCCCACAGACUGGGCAUCAGUGGGGUGGAGAAAUUGGGGCCCUAGGGUGAGAUUAAACUCAUGCCACUUGUGAUCCGACUAAUUAAUACAGUAUAACCUACUUUAGCACAGCAUAUGGCCUGUCUCCCCCAUAUGCUGCUCCUAGUAAGAGUCUAGUAGUGCUAUCAGCUAGAGGAGAUACAAGUAGCUAAUAGUAUAACACUGAUAGUCCCAGGUUCAAAUCCUGCUGAUGACCCAAGCAGUGGGGUAAUAAAGUAGCUUUGAUCCAGCUCUCUAAAAGUAGCAGCCUGUUCCCUUCCUACAGAGUCAGUUUCACAUGAAGCCAAAGAAGGAGCUUCCCCUCUGACGUGACUAAUCCCUCCUCUUAUUGCUAGGGAAAGAAGAGACUGAACAAAAGCCUCAUUCUCAGAGCUUUAUUGAAUACAUAAUUUUGCUUGAACAAAAUCCUCAUACAUGGCACAUACAGUAGAAAUAUUGCAACAUAAUGUUUCUCCUGCACUGUGGAAAAGGUAUGUGGAAUCCUAGACAUCUCUGCUUCAGGAGGAAACAGGAGAAAUGAAAGCUGUGAUCUUUGCCCAGGUAACACCGUGAAGGGAAGGAAUGAUGCCCAGUGAAUUAGUGAAGUUUUAGGUAUAAACCCAUAGAAUGCUCUGUGUGAUCCCAUGUUCUAUUAUUCCUUGCUCAGUUUUUGCAUCUUUCUAUUCUGCUCAAGAUGGCAUCUGAGCCCAUCAAAGCAAAGCCGCACCUGUAGCCCCAUAAUGAGAACU